rnacentral:lncRNA from 1 species
GAAAAAAGCUGGAAAAAUAAUUGUUCCUCUUGUUUAGAAGAUGACAGCUUUUUUUUUUCUUCAUUAAGCGCCCUUCUCUUCAAAAGACAAAAAAGGGUGAGAGAAACUUGAAGACUUCAGUCCUUUUUGUAUCUAUGACUCCGGAAAGGAAAGAAAAAUAAACCAUGUAGAACCUGCUUGCUGUCCUGUCCUCUGCCAGCCGUUGGCCUCAGUAAUCGGAUUCAAGGAUAUGUAUGACCUACUUUUUGAAUCACUGCAGCCCAGGCUGCGCAAUUUCUUAUGUUCUCUUGCUGAGAAACCAACAUACAAGCAGAGAUUGUGUAUUUUUCUGUAAAGGUAGAGGUAGGCGCUUCUGGAAAUUCUGGAAACCUUUCCAAGUUUACAGCACAAACGACCGGAAUGUUAAGAAGGGCUUUUGUUAACAGGUCUGUUUUGCUAGGAUUCUGCAGGGGGUUGGAGCCCUGGGGAGGCUUCUUCUUGUCCCCAUUGGUGUUGAUUCUGUCUCUGAUAUUCACUGGUAGCAAUCAGAUCUCACCUGGCAUAAAGCACUGGCUCCAUCUGUUUUCUAGGAGUGGAUUUUUUUUCCAUUAAGAAUAGAGUCAUCUCAGUAUGAACGGCUGAUACAAGGGGAAAAAGAAGCAUUUCCAGCAGUGCUUGUUUACCAGUCCUUUAUGACCAAAUUGAUGCAAAGUGGGCCACAAACAUGUUUGUUGACACCUGGAGUGUCCAAACUCCAGAAAUAGAUAAGAGUCCCUCAUGAAAAUAUAUAUAAAGCAAAGAGAUAGAAGAAAUUGAUUAAACCCAUAAAGAUAUGGACAAGGAAGAGAAAGCAACCAACAUUUACCGUGUCUUUCUAUUAAUAGCUACCCAACACUGUCCUGGAGGCUUUUUAAAGAGCUUAUCUCAUUGAAGCCAAGGCUGGGGCUAGCGAGAGGCCAAUGAGGUCAAAACAGUGUGGGAAAAGAAAUUUAAAAAAAUGUUAUUAAAGAAGCUACUGUCAACCUAAAGGAAGAAACUGAGGCAAAAUUAAUGAACACUACUCCCCAAAUAGGUUCUGCCCAUGGGAUGUGGAGAUGAUGAAUUUUCUAACCUCAGUGUUGCUGACACUUAGAUCCAUGCGCUUCUGGAAAGACUCAUUUCUAAGCCAUCACGGCUGAUUGAAUGAUUGUAUCCCCCAGGUGUUUAAUAAUGGAUCCAUGUCAAUCCUAAAAGAAGUAUCUGGUGGACUGCAAUAAGGUUCUGCCUGUGAUCGUCUUCAUUUUAUCAUCCACUCAUGAAGAUGUGAAAGCCAGACUUCAGACAGACAAUUAGAGGGCAUUAGUAAUGCAUAUUGGAUGAGAAGUUGUGACACAAAAUUUUAAUAGGCUGCAAAGAUGUGCUAAAAUUCACUAGGUAUAAAUGAUGUCAUAGGUUCAGGGAGAUACUGAGACAAGUGUGAACAGAAUACAUGAGAUUACACUGAAGUUCAAUUAACUGCUAGUCAAAAACUAAAAACUAAAACAAUGUAUUCUGUAGUGAACACUUGCAGAUCUGUGUGCUUAGUUCACCUUUUCUAGAAGUUGCCCCUUCCCUUGUCCAGAUGGUUGCAAAAAAGCACUGACGUCACAACAUGACCUGGUUCCUGGCCACAGUUGAUAGGUCCAGAAACUGAUACUCAACUUAAGAAUAAGGAUCUGUUCUGUUUAUUUUAAAAUCAGAACCAAGAAUGGUAAGCUGGACUGUCUUCGAAAGCCUGGACUCUAAGAAGUAAAGCUUUGGAUUUAUAGGCAGCCAUGUCCCCCACCACUGGGGUGGCAGAGGAAUCUAGUCUUUGGAGAGAGGGGUGGACAUGAGAGAUGGAAAGAGACUCCUGUCUACAUGUUCCUAUGGCUCAGUUGCAUUUCUCUUCCUUGAGUAUCACUGUAUUCUAAUAACCUAAUAGAUCCUCAUAUCUUCCCUUUCAACUCAAGCUAACUAAGUGUCUCAUAUUUGCAAAGCAAAAUGUUCCAAGUACAUGACUUAAGCUCCAGCUACAGUGCCCUGAAUAAGGGUGGGAUAAUCAUAAUAGUAAAUUUCCAAGUGGCCAAGUCUUAACUUUGCCUUGGCCACACUAAUGUGGUCCAUGUGGUCAUUUCCAGGCUCAACUUUCUGAAGAUGAUGGUCAAGAGACAGAAGUCUCUGAGGAAGAGGAGGUAGCUGUUUAGAAAUGUUUAAAGGGUUGCCAUGUAUAAGUCAAAGUAGGUGUUCUAUGUUGCUCCAACAGACAAAAAUGAUACCAAUAGUCAAAAGUUGGAAUGCAGAUUUUGACUGGACACAACAAUUGUUUUUGUAAGUAUUAGACUUAUCCAAUAAAGGAAUGGAUGACCUAGUGAAGGAUCAAGGUCUCUGUCAAUGGAAGGUUGGGUCAGAACUUAGAUAUACAUUUAUUUGGGAGUUUGAUGAAUAGAUGGCUAUUAAUAGCUGUCAUUUAUCAAAGGCUUUUUAUGUGUGAAACACUGUGCUUGACAUAUGCUUUAUGUAAAUUUACACAUCUUCAUAAUAAUCAUAUGAAUAGAUAUACCUUAUACAUUUAAUAAUAGUUAUCAAAUAUUUAUAAGAACAAUAUUUUGGUAAUUUUAAACGUAAAAUUAAAAAAAUUUGUUAUGCUUCAAUUGUAGAAUUAUGCUACAAUUAAUUUCAGUCUUUGAAGUAUUUGUAAUUUUACCACUUCAUGGCAUUUUUCUACUUUU